rnacentral:rRNA from 1 species
UACGUAGGGCGCAAGCGUUGUCCGGAAUUAUUGGGCGUAAAGGGCUCGUAGGCGGUUUGUCACGUCGGGAGUGAAAACUCGGGGCUCAACCCCGAGCCUGCUUCCGAUACGGGCAGACUAGAGGUAUGCAGGGGAGAAUGGAAUUCCUGGUGUAGCGGUGAAAUGCGCAGAUAUCAGGAGGACCACCGGUGGUGUAGACGGCUCUCUGGACCGCCACUGACGCUGAGACACGAAAGCGUGGGUAGCAAACAGG